GAUGAACGCUGGCGGCGUGCCUAAUACAUGCAAGUCGAGCGAACGGACGAGAAGCUUGCGUCUCUGAUGUUAGCGGCGGACGGGUGAGUAACACGUGGAUAACCUACCUAUAAGACUGGGAUAACUUCGGGAAACCGGAGCUAAUACCGGAUGAUAUUUUGAACCGCAUGGUUCAAAAGUGAAAGACGGUCUUGCUGUAACUUAUAGAUGGAUCCGGGCUGCAUUAGCUAGUUGGUAAGGUAACGGCUUACCAAGGCAACGAUGCAUAGCCGACCUGAGAGGGUGGUCGGCCACCCUGGAAGUGAGACACGGUCCAGACUCCUACGGGAGGCAGCAGUAGGGAAUCUUCCGCAAUGGGCGAAAGCCUGACGGAGCAACGCCGCGUGAGUGAUGACGGUCUUCGGAUCGUAAAACUCUGUUAUUAGGGAAGAACAUAUGUGUAAGUAACCGUGCACAUCUUGACGGUACCUAAUCAGAAAGCAACGGCUAACUACGUG
rnacentral:rRNA from 1 species